UGAACGCUGGCGGUAUGCCUAACACAUGCAAGUCGUACGAGAGUUUUUAACUCAAGUGGCGGACGGGUGAGUAACACGUGAGAAUCUGCCUUUAGGAGGGGGACAACAACUGGAAACGGUUGCUAAUACCCCAUAUGCUUUCGAGUGAAAUGAAUUUAUUCGCCUAAAGAGGAGCUCGCGGCUGAUUAGCUUGUUGGUAGAGUAAUAGCCUACCAAGGCGACGAUCAGUAUCUGGUUUGAGAGGACGAUCAGACACACUGGAACUGAGACACGGUCCAGACUCCUACGGGAGGCAGCAGUGGGGAAUUUUCCGCAAUGGGCGAAAGCCUGACGGAGCAAUACCGCGUGAGGGAAGACGGCCUAUGGGUUGUAAACCUCUUUUCUCAGGGAGGAAUUCAAUGACGUGUACCUGAGGAAUAAGCAUCGGCUAACUCC
rnacentral:rRNA from 1 species